CCUACGGGUGGCAGCAGUGAGGAAUAUUGGUCAAUGGUCGUAAGACUGAACCAGCCAAGUCGCGUGAGGGAUGAAGGUUCUAUGGAUCGUAAACCUCUUUUAUAAGGGAAUAAAGUGUGGGACGUGUCCUCUUUUGUAUGUACCUGAUGAAUAAGGAUCGGCUAACUCCGUGCCAGCAGCCGCGGUAAUACGGAGGAUCCGAGCGUUAUCCGGAUUUAUUGGGUUUAAAGGGUGCGUAGGCGGGCUGUUAAGUCAGCGGGGAAAGUCUGUGGCUCAACCCUAGAAUUGCCGUUGAAACUGGGAGUCUUGAGUUUGUGAGAGGCAGGCGGAAUGCGUGGUGUAGCGGUGAAAUGCUUAGAUAUCGCGCAGAACCCCGAUUGCGAAGGCAGCCUGCCGGGCCAUGACUGACGCUGAUGCACGAAAGCGUGGGUAUCGAACAGGAUUAGAUACCCUAGUAGUC
rnacentral:rRNA from 1 species